GAAUCUGGAGGAUGACAUCACUCUACCAACAAGGAUUACUUUAGGGCCAGACUCGCGCUGUUUGUUCCAGACCAGGACUCUGGCUGAGGAGAGCUGAUGGAGGACGACAUCACUCCACCAACCAGGAUCCUCACCAGGAAUCUGGAGGACUGAUGGAGAAGCCGUACAUCUGGAAGGCAAAUCCUGAGGACAACCAGGACUCUAACAUCAAGGAUUCCUCAUAAAUUUGCAUCAUCUGGACAUAGUGGACUAGACACACCUGAGCUGAACCUCACCUGAUCCUGUUUGGUCGGGGGCAGACACACCUGAGCUAAACCCGCCCUGAUCCUGAUAUCCUGCUGGUCCCAUCUCCUCAGUUCAUCUGAGCCUCCUCCUCCAGAAGACCUGCUGAGCUCAGCAGUUUGAGGCUGAUGGAUCAAUGACCUCCAGUGGGAGUGAUCUUCUUGACCCCACAUGUAACCGUGUGCUUCCACACGCCUUUCUCACUUUGUCACUAACCUCACUACUUCACUACUCUCUAUUGCUUCCUCUUCUUCUUCCUUCUCUGUGGUUCGAACAUUUACACUGGAGGCGCGUCUUCCUGCCCUCAGAGGGUUCAGCGUUAGGGUUGAGAGUCAGGGUUUAGAGUCAGGGACAGAGCUGGUCAGGGAGGACUGCUUUUACACAAACCACUUCACUUGCUUUCGGAAUGAUGGUGACAUUUUGAAAAGAUUCAUUUGGGAAAAUGUUUUCCUCUGCUUUCCUUUACAAAAUUGUAUUAAACUUCUGUCAAGUGUUUUUGUUUACAUAUUAAAAUCCCACAUUGACUUCUA